rnacentral:rRNA from 1 species
UACGAAGGGGGCUAGCGUUGCUCGGAAUCACUGGGCGUAAAGCGCACGUAGGCGGAUUGCUAAGUCAGGGGUGAAAUCCUGGAGCUCAACUCCAGAACUGCCCUUGAUACUGGCGGUCUCGAGUCCGGGAGAGGUGAGUGGAACUGCGGGUGUAGAGGUGAAAUUCGUAGAUAUUCGCAAGAACACCAGUGGCGAAGGCGGCUCACUGGCCCGUAACUGACGCUGAGGCACGAAAGCGUGGGGAGCAAACAGG